rnacentral:rRNA from 1 species
GACGAACGCUGGCGGCGUGCUUAACACAUGCAAGCCGAACGGUAAGGCCCUUCGGGGUACACGAGUGGCGAACGGGUGAGUAACACGUGGGUGAUCUGCCCUGCACUUCGGGAUAAGCCUGGGAAACUGGGUCUAAUACCGGAUAGGACCAGUGCCUGCAUGGGUGGUGGUGGAAAGCUUUUGCGGUGUGGGAUGGGCCCGCGGCCUAUCAGCUUGUUGGUGGGGUGAUGGCCUACCAAGGCGACGACGGGUAGCCGGCCUGAGAGGGUGACCGGCCACACUGGGACUGAGAUACGGCCCAGACUCCUACGGGGGGCAGCAGUGGGGAAUAUUGCACAAUGGGCGCAAGCCUGAUGCAGCGACGCCGCGUGAGGGAUGACGGCCUUCGGGUUGUAAACCUCUUUCAGCACCGACGAAGCGCAAGUGACGGUAGGUGCAGAAGAAGGACCGGCCAACUACGUGCCAGCCGCCGCGGUAAUAC